rnacentral:rRNA from 1 species
UCCAGACUCCUACGGGAGGCAGCAGUGGGGAAUAUUGCACAAUGGGGGGAACCCUGAUGCAGCGACGCCGCGUGGGCGAGGAAGUAUUUCGGUAUGUAAAGCCCUAUCGGCAGGGAAGAAGAAAUGACGGUACCUGAAUAAGAAGCACCGGCUAAAUACGUGCCAGCAGCCGCGGUAGUACGUAUGGUGCAAGCGUUAUCCGGAUUUACUGGGCGUAAAGGGAGCGCAGGCGGCGCGCCAAGUCUGAUGUGAAACCCCGGGGCUCAACCCCGGGACUGCUCUUGGAACUGCGCGGCUGGAGUGCAGGAGGGGCAGGCGGAAUUCCUGGUGUAGCGGUGAAAUGCGUAGAUAUCAGGAGGAACACCGGUGGCGAAGGCGGCCUGCUGGACUGCGACUGACGUUGAGGCCCGAAAGCGUGGGGAGCAAACAGGAUUAGAUACCCCGGUAAAA